CGGAGGAAAAGAACCAACAGGGAUUGCCCUAGUAACGGCGAGUGAAGCGGCAACAGCUCAAAUUUGAAAUCUGGCUCUCGGGCCCGAGUUGUAAUUUGUAGAGGAUGACUUUGAUGCGGUGCCUUCCGAGUUCCCUGGAACGGGACGCCAUAGAGGGUGAGAGCCCCGUCUGGUUGGAUGCCAAAUCUCUGUAAGUCUCCUUCGACGAGUCGAGUAGUUUGGGAAUGCUGCUCUAAAUGGGAGGUAUAUGUCUUCUAAAGCUAAAUACCGGCCAGAGACCGAUAGCGCACAAGUAGAGUGAUCGAAAGAUGAAAAGCACUUUGAAAAGAGAGUUAAAAAGUACGUGAAAUUGUUGAAAGGGAAGCGUUUAUGACCAGACUUGGGCUUGGUUAAUCAUCUGGGGUUCUCCCCAGUGCACUUUUCCAGUUCAGGCCAGCAUCAGUUUUCGCCGGGGGAUAAAGACUUCGGGAAUGUGGCUCCUCUCGGGGAGUGUUAUAGCCCGUUGUGUAAUACCCUGGUGGGGACUGAGGUUCGCGCUUCUGCAAGGAUGCUGGCGUAAUGGUCAUCAACGACCCGUCUUGAAACACGGACCAAGGAGUCGUCUUCGUAUGCGAGUGUUCGGGUGUCAAACCCCUACGCGUAAUGAAAGUGAACGCAGGUGAGAGCUUCGGCGCAUCAUCGACCGAUCCUGAUGUUCUCGGAUGGAUUUGAGUAAGAGCAUACGGGGCCGGACCCGAAAGAAGGNGAACUAUGCCUGUGUAGGGUGAAGCCNGANGAAACUCUGGUGGAGGNUCGCA
rnacentral:rRNA from 1 species